UAUGCUUUUCAUCCUUUGGAUAAGAUCAACUGUAGUAUCUGCUCUUGUCAGUUUAAUAUCUGAUAUGUCCUUUAUCCGAGGACAAUAUAUUAAAUGGAUUUUUGGAGCUGGGAGAUGGAAGAGGAGCUUGCUCCGUCCAAUCCAUGCAACUAUCGGGUAUUGCAAUACUUCAGGAAUGGUGCAUGCACA
ensembl:snRNA U2 U2 spliceosomal RNA